rnacentral:rRNA from 1 species
AGUGAACGCUGGCGGUAGGCCUAACACAUGCAAGUCGAACGGCAGCACAGUAAGAGCUUGCUCUUACGGGUGGCGAGUGGCGGACGGGUGAGGAAUACAUCGGAAUCUACUUUUUCGUGGGGGAUAACGUAGGGAAACUUACGCUAAUACCGCAUACGACCUACGGGUGAAAGCAGGGGAUCUUCGGACCUUGCGCGAUUGAAUGAGCCGAUGUCGGAUUAGCUAGUUGGCGGGGUAAAGGCCCACCAAGGCGACGAUCCGUAGCUGGUCUGAGAGGAUGAUCAGCCACACUGGAAAUGAGACACGGUCCAGACUCCUACGGGAGGCAGCAGUGGGGAAUAUUGGACAAUGGGCGCAAGCCUGAUCCAGCCAUACCGCGUGGGUGAAGAAGGCCUUCGGGUUGCAAAGCCCUUUUGUUGGGAAAGAAAAGCAGCAGGUUAAUAACCCGCUGUUCUGACGGUACCCAAAGAAUAAGCACCGGCUAACUUCGUG